CCCAUCACUAAAAACGACGCCAGAAUUAUAAUAAUAUUAUUAAAAAUGAGUACGAGGUCUUGCGCGUACAAGGAUUGCGAAUAUUAUUAUGCCACGCACGACAACACUCAGUCUAAGGGAAGAGCCCUGUUCGCCUUUCCCAAACAACUUGAAAGGGCGCGAGUCUGGCACGAAAAUGGACAAGUGCACCCGAAGAUCCCUCAAACCCAGCUCUAUCUGUGCUCCAUUCACUUCGACCCCAAGUUCAUAUCCUCCUCCAAAAACCGAACGCUCCUUGUGGGCGAGGCGGUGCCGUAUCGGUACGGGGAAAGAGGUCCCGAUACGGAGGAUCAGCCUGAACAGGUGGCCUCAACUUCCCAGGAGAGCUACCUUAUAAACCUGAGCGAUGAUAAAGUGACCAUCAACAGUGUGGACACUACCUCAAGGACCAGCCCUCCUCAGAGAGAGCUUCACCUCGAGGCACUCCCCGCCAAGCGCGCGAAGGAAUCGCCAUCGACCAUUGGCCGUUCUGUGAAGAAAACGGCUAGAACGGAUCCCAGUUCCACUGGAGCGCCUGUUAGUGUUGAGCCUGUUAGUGUGGAGCCUGGUAUUAUUGAUACUUCCGAAGUGUCAGUAUUCACUUUUAAGGGCCAGGAGUACGUACAAAUGUCUAUGGAGCAUUACUUGAAGGAGCAAAGGAUGAUGGCCGAACUACUUACAAACUACAAGAACGCUUUAAGGGCUAUCAAGGAACACGUCUCCGAGCUGGACCUUUGACGUAAUCAAUAUAAAUAUGAAACGGCCAACCAUAUAAACUUGAGGUUCGACAUAAUAUUUGUACAUUACAACGUUUAAUAAACAUACGGAAAUGAUGACCAAAACAGGCACAUUUCGGUUUACUGAUUGAAAACGGUGAAAAUUCACAGAGAUCUAAAAAGCAGUGUCUUUCACGAAAACUUAAGUAGAUCAACAUUUUGGAAAUCACUAAAGUAUUUCAGUAGCCCCUCAAGCCGGCACAUAUUCCACCUCGCUGUCCACAUCGAUUUCAUCGCUAAGAUCGUCAUCCUGGUCCUGCAGUUCCUCGGGCACGCCCGACAGGAGACGUUUGCGCUGCAGUAGGGCUGCCCAACCGAGGCGGGUCUCGCAAAGCGGGCACUCUCCUCCAACUGGGAUAUAGUGACCAGGCUCAUCGCCUAGGAGAUAAUUGGCCAAGCACAGCAUGUGGCAGGUGAGCCGACAGGUCGGAUUUGUACAUCCAAGCCGGGAUCUUUCCGGCUGCUCGAUUCGCUGUAUACAUAGGUGACACUCGGGAGCCCAAGCCACAGGUGGAGGAGCCUCAGCGUCAUCAGCUCUCUUACGUUGUGAGACACUAAUGGAAACCUUACCACUUACAAUCUCCAUUUGGCUAGGGAGUGGCACAUCAAAGGCCCUCUCAUAAUCCGUUUCUAGCCAGCGAACGGUGAGGGGCAAUCGAUGCCAAGGGCCGACUCCCAGCAUCUUACUGAGGAUCCUGAAGUUGUAGUCAAAGUAGUUCUCCCUGGGUAAUUUCCGUUUUAGCUCUGGGUACAUUUUGAGUCUAGUAGAAAGCGAGGGCUGUUGCCAAGCCCACUCAAACUGUAGUGCCACAAUAUUAUUCGGGAAUCCGUGAACGAUCAUUACCAUUUGCCAGGGCCCCUUGCGGCUGGUUUUUCUCGCGCCUCCAAAGUCGCACCCCAGAUUAUGCUGGCGUAUCCGGCGUUUUGGGUUCACGGUGAAGCCCACAUAGCACUUUCCUCUAUAUCGAGAAUCCAAACUCUGACUGCAAAGCAAAUAGACGCCGUAGAAGUGACCUUUGCGGGCGACGAUUUCCUCCUGCUCACUAACUGCUUCCUGGGUGGCUGUGAAUUUAUGAAUAAAUGGAUUAAUGAGUUAUCUUUAAAUCUGAAACUGAGAAAAACCAAUCAAUAGGAGGCGACAGCUUAGCCGAACCGACAGGGUGUGGUUUUUUUAAGUCAAACUCUAAUAUUGUUCUUACUUGUUGCCAAAAUAGAUAGAGGAAUAUUAGAAUUAUAGUAAAUCAUAGCCUCUAAAGAGCUUCUCCUUUCUGCUAUAAGUACUAAGAACCAAAUGUAACUUAGUAUUUGGAAUAAAAAGUAUAUGAAUUUA